ensembl:snRNA U6 U6 spliceosomal RNA
AUUUUUGCUUCAGCAGAACAUAUGCUAAAAUUGUAACAAUGCAGAGAUUAGUAUGGCCCCUAUACAAGGAUGACAUGCAAGGUUUGAAGUGUUAAAUAUUUUU